rfam:Citrus clementina cultivar Clemenules unplaced genomic scaffold scaffold_4, whole genome shotgun sequence.
AUACCAUGACGAGGACAACUCCUGCAUAACUCCUUGAAUCUUUCCCAUGCAUCAUACAAUUUUUCAUCUUCAAGUUUAUGGAAAGUAAUGGAAUCAGGCUGUAGAGAGU